rnacentral:rRNA from 1 species
UACGUAGGGGGCAAGCGUUGUCCGGAUUUAUUGGGCGUAAAGAGCGUGUAGGCGGCCAGAUAGGUCCGUUGUGAAAACUGGAGGCUUAACCUCCAGCGGUCGAUGGGAAACCAUUUGGCUAGAGUCCGGAAGAGGAGAGUGGAAUUCCUGGUGUGAGCGGUGAAAUGCGCAGAUAUCAGGAAGAACACCCGUGGCGAAGGCGGCUCUCUGGGACGGUACUGACGCUGAGACGCGAAAGCGUGGGGAGCGAACAGG